AACCGCAAAAGAAGCAGAGGGGGCUUAGUGGUGGGGUGACUGCGUACCUUUUGUAUAAUGGGUCAGCGACUUAUAUUCUGUAGCAAGGUUAACCGAAUAGGGGAGCCGGAGGGAAACCGAGUCUUAAUUGGGCGUUAAGUUGCAGGGUAUAGACCCGAAACCCGGUGAUCUAGCCAUGGGCAGGUUGAAGGUUGGGUAACACUAACUGGAGGACCGAACCGACUAAUGUUGAAAAAUUAGCGGAUGACCUGUGGCUGGGGGUGAAAGGCCAAUCAAACCGGGAGAUAGCUGGUUCUCCCCGAAAGCUAUUUAGGUAGCGCCUCGUGAAUUCAUCUCCGGGGGUAGAGCACUGUUUCGGCUAGGGGGCCAUCCCGGCUUACCAACCCGAUGCAAACUGCGAAUACCGGAGAAUGUUAUCACGGGAGACACACGGCGGGUGCUAACGUCCGUCGUGAAGAGGGAAACAACCCAGACCGCCAGCUAAGGUCCCAAAGUCAUGGUUAAGUGGGAAACGAUGUGGGAAGGCCCAGACAGCCAGGAUGUUGGCUUAGAAGCAGCCAUCAUUUAAAGAAAGCGUAAUAGCUCACUGGUCGAGUCGGCCUGCGCGGAAGAUGUAACGGGGCUAAACCAUGCACCGAAGCUGCGGCAGCGACGCUGAUGCGUUGUUGGGUAGGGGAGCGUUCUGUAAGCCUGCGAAGGUGGCCUGUGAGGGUUGCUGGAGGUAUCAGAAGUGCGAAUGCUGACAUAAGUAACGAUAAAGCGGGUGAAAAGCCCGCUCGCCGGAAGACCAAGGGUUCCUGUCCAACGUUAAUCGGGGCAGGGUGAGUCGACCCCUAAGGCGAGGCCGAAAGGCGUAGUCGAUGGGAAACGGGUUAAUAUUCCCGUACUUGGUGUUACUGCGAAGGGGGGACGGAGAAGGCUAUGUUGGCCGGGCGACGGUUGUCCCGGUUUAAGCGUGUAGGUGUGUGUUCCAGGUAAAUCCGGUUCACUUUAACACUGAGGCGUGAUGACGAGGCACUACGGUGCUGAAGCAACAAAUGCCCUGCUUCCAGGAAAAGCCUCUAAGCAUCAGGUAACAUCAAAUCGUACCCCAAACCGACACAGGUGGUCAGGUAGAGAAUACCAAGGCGCUUGAGAGAACUCGGGUGAAGGAACUAGGCAAAAUGGUGCCGUAACUUCGGGAGAAGGCACGCUGACACGUAGGUGAAGUGAUUUACUCAUGGAGCUGAAGUCAGUCGAAGAUACCAGCUGGCUGCAACUGUUUAUUAAAAACACAGCACUGUGCAAACACGAAAGUGGACGUAUACGGUGUGACGCCUGCCCGGUGCCGGAAGGUUAAUUGAUGGGGUCAGCGCAAGCGAAGCUCCUGAUCGAAGCCCCGGUAAACGGCGGCCGUAACUAUAACGGUCCUAAGGUAGCGAAAUUCCUUGUCGGGUAAGUUCCGACCUGCACGAAUGGCGUAAUGAUGGCCAGGCUGUCUCCACCCGAGACUCAGUGAAAUUGAACUCGCUGUGAAGAUGCAGUGUACCCGCGGCAAGACGGAAAGACCCCGUGAACCUUUACUAUAGCUUGACACUGAACAUUGAGCCUUGAUGUGUAGGAUAGGUGGGAGGCUUUGAAGUGUGGACGCCAGUCUGCAUGGAGCCGACCUUGAAAUACCACCCUUUAAUGUUUGAUGUUCUAACGUGGACCCGUGAUCCGGGUUGCGGACAGUGUCUGGUGGGUAGUUUGACUGGGGCGGUCUCCUCCUAAAGAGUAACGGAGGAGCACGAAGGUUGGCUAAUCCUGGUCGGACAUCAGGAGGUUAGUGCAAUGGCAUAAGCCAGCUUGACUGCGAGCGUGACGGCGCGAGCAGGUGCGAAAGCAGGUCAUAGUGAUCCGGUGGUUCUGAAUGGAAGGGCCAUCGCUCAACGGAUAAAAGGUACUCCGGGGAUAACAGGCUGAUACCGCCCAAGAGUUCAUAUCGACGGCGGUGUUUGGCACCUCGAUGUCGGCUCAUCACAUCCUGGGGCUGAAGUAGGUCCCAAGGGUAUGGCUGUUCGCCAUUUAAAGUGGUACGCGAGCUGGGUUUAGAACGUCGUGAGACAGUUCGGUCCCUAUCUGCCGUGGGCGCUGGAGAACUGAGGGGGGCUGCUCCUAGUACGAGAGGACCGGAGUGGACGCAUCACUGGUGUUCGGGUUGUCAUGCCAAUGGCACUGCCCGGUAGCUAAAUGCGGAAGAGAUAAGUGCUGAAAGCAUCUAAGCACGAAACUUGCCCCGAGAUGAGUUCUCCCUGAGACUUUAGGUCUCCUGAAGGAACGUUGAAGACGACGACGUUGAUAGG
rnacentral:rRNA from 1 species